rnacentral:piRNA from 1 species
UUCUCUGUUCUGGCCUGCUUCAAGGUC